GGUGAGUAACGCGUGAGAAUCUAGCUUCAGGUCGGGACACCACUGGAACGGUGGCUAAUACCGGAUGUGCCGAAAGGUGAAAGAUUUAUUGCCUGAAGAUGAGCUCGCGUCUGAUUAGCUAGUUGGUGUGGUAAGAGCGCACCAAGGCGACGAUCAGUAGCUGGUCUGAGAGGAUGAUCAGCCACACUGGGACUGAGACACGGCCCAGACUCCUACGGGAGGCAGCAGUGGGGAAUUUUCCGCAAUGGGCGAAAGCCUGACGGAGCAAUACCGCGUGAGGGAGGAAGGCUCUUGGGUUGUAAACCUCUUUUCUCAGGGAAUAAAAAAAUGAAGGUACCUGAGGAAUAAGCAUCGGCUAACUCCGUGCCAGCAGCCGCGGUAAUACGGAGGAUGCAAGCGUUAUCCGGAAUGAUUGGGCGUAAAGCGUCCGCAGGUGGCACUGUAAGUCUGCUGUUAAAGAGCAAGGCUCAACCUUGUAAAGGCAGUGGAAACUACAGAGCUAGAGUACGUUCGGGGCAGAGGGAAUUCCUGGUGUAGCGGUGAAAUGCGUAGAGAUCAGGAAGAACACCGGUGGCGAAAGCGCUCUGCUAGGCCGUAACUGACACUGAGGACGAAGCAAUCCUUUCAAAAACAAAAAAUGUAAAACGG
rnacentral:rRNA from 1 species